UUCUGGUUGAUCCUGCCGGAGGCCACUGCUAUCGGAGUUCGAUUAAGCCAUGCGAGUCGAGAGGUGAAAGACCUCGGCAUACUGCUCAGUAACACGUGGAUAACCUACCCUAAGGUGGGAGAUAACCCCGGGAAACUGGGGAUAAUACCCCAUAGUCUAUAGGCGCUGGAAUGCUCUGUAGUCGAAAGAUUUAUCGCCUUAGGAUGGGUCUGCGGCCGAUUAGGUAGUUGUUGGGGUAACGGCCCAACAAGCCUUUGAUCGGUACGGGUUGUGGGAGCAAGAGCCCGGAGAUGGAUUCUGAGACACGAAUUCAGGCCCUACGGGGCGCAGCAGGCGCGAAAACUUUACAAUGCGGGAAACCGUGAUAAGGGAACUCCGAGUGCCCGUAAACGCGGGCUGUCCAUCUGCUUAAAAAACAGGUGAAGAAAGGGCCGGGCAAGACCGGUGCCAGCCGCCGCGGUAAUACCGGCGGCUCGAGUGGUGGCCACUAUUACUGGGCUUAAAGCGUCCGUAGCUUGGUUGUUAAGUCUCUUGGGAAAUCUGCCGGCUUAACCGACAGGCGUUUAAGGGAUACUGGCAAUCUAGGGACCGGGAGAGGUGAGAGGUACUCCAGGGGUAGGAGUGAAAUCCUGUAAUCCUUGGGGGACCACCUGUGGCGUAGGCGUCUCACCAGAACGGCUCCGACAGUGAGGGACGAAAGCUGGGGGAGCAAACCGGAUUAGAUACCCGGGUAGUCCCAGCCGUAAACGAUGCGCGUUAGGUGUAUCGGUGACCACGAGUCACCGAGGUGCCGAAGGGAAACCGUGAAACGUGCCGCCUGGGAAGUACGGUCGCAAGGCUGAAAC
rnacentral:rRNA from 1 species